CUACGUAGGGUGCGAGCGUUGUCCGGAAUUACUGGGCGUAAAGAGCUCGUAGGUGGUUUGUCGCGUCGUCUGUGAAAUUCCGGGGCUUAACUCCGGGCGUGCAGGCGAUACGGGCAUAACUUGAGUACUGUAGGGGAGACUGGAAUUCCUGGUGUAGCGGUGAAAUGCGCAGAUAUCAGGAGGAACACCGGUGGCGAAGGCGGGUCUCUGGGCAGUAACGGACGCUGAGGAGCGAAAGCAUGGGUAGCGAACAGGAUUAGAUACCCUGGUAGUCCAUGCCGUAAACGGUGGGCGCUAGGUGUAGGGGUCUUCCACGACUUCUGUGCCGUAGCUAACGCAUUAAGCGCCCCGCCUGGGGAGUACGGCCGCAAGGCUAAAACUCAAAUGAAUUGACGGGG
rnacentral:rRNA from 1 species